CUCAGGAAGUCCAACCUCCGACUGACAGGAACCAUCAGAAUCUCACCUUCAAGUCACCUGCAGCUACAAAUCCCUCCAGAGUUUCCAGCAGUUCUCUUCUGUUGAAAGUCGCCAAUGAAACCUUGAUCUGCUCCACAAACCUGAUCUACCAUCCAGACCCAGAGUUCACCAGCUUCACAUCCACACAGAGGGGUGACCACGUCCAGAUCACCAUACAGAGAAAAGCAGACAAACUGGAGAUAACCCCAGCGGAGUUGUCAGUAUGGGGGGAGCAGGAGGAGAAACGAUACCCCUGCAUCAUGGAAGACAAAGACCCCGGUGAAGAGUUCAACUUUUACUCUUGUGAGAUUCAGAGCCCACCCAGCGCACAGUUCCAGACGUUAAUGAUUAAAUACGGUGACACGACAGUGUUACUUGCUCCUCCAAUGUUAAUGCCUCCAGUCAUUGUCAUCCUGCGCUUCAUGCUGAUCCCCUGUGUUAUUGCUG